UCGACUAACGGGGAUGGAGUCCCCCUUGAAAACCGCCUUGGCCAUGCUGAUGACUCCUACCGCGCG
rnacentral:ncRNA from 1 species